CAGUCGAGCGGACCUCUUCGGAGGUUAGCGGCGGACGGGUGAGUAACACGUGGGCAACCUGCCUGUAAGACUGGGAUAACUCCGGGAAACCGGAGCUAAUACCGGAUAGUAUCUUGAACCGCAUGGUUCAAGUUGGAAAGACGGUUUCGGCUGUCACUUACAGAUGGGCCCGCGGCGCAUUAGCUAGUUGGUGAGGUAAUGGCUCACCAAGGCAACGAUGCGUAGCCGACCUGAGAGGGUGAUCGGCCACACUGGGACUGAGACACGGCCCAGACUCCUACGGGAGGCAGCAGUAGGGAAUCUUCCGCAAUGGACGAAAGUCUGACGGAGCAACGCCGCGUGAGUGAUGAAGGUUUUCGGAUCGUAAAACUCUGUUGUUAGGGAAGAACAAGUGCGAGAGUAACUGCUCGCACCUUGACGGUACCUAACCAGAAAGCCACGGCUAACUACGUGCCAGCAGCCGCGGUAAUACGUAGGUGGCAAGCGUUGUCCGGAAUUAUUGGGCGUAAAGCGCGCGCAGGCGGUUUCUUAAGUCUGAUGUGAAAGCCCCCGGCUCAACCGGGGAGGGUCAUUGGAAACUGGGAAACUUGAGUGCAGAAUAGGAGAGUGGAAUUCCACGUGUAGCGGUAA
rnacentral:rRNA from 2 species